GGGUUUGAUCAUGGCUCAGAACGUACGCUGGCGGCACGCCUAACACAUGCAAGUCGAACGAAGUAGCAAUACUUAGUGGCAGACGGGUGAGUAACAUGUAGGUAUCUACCCUUUGGCCUGGAAUAACACGAGGAAACUUGUGCUAAUACCAGAUAAGUCUUUACGGAGAAAGCUUUAUGCACCAUUGGAUGAGCCUGCACUUGAUUAGUUUGUUGGUAGGGUAAUGGCCUACCAAGACUAUGAUCAAUAGCUGAUUUGAGAGGAUGAUCAGCCACAUUGGGACUGAGACACGGCCCAAACUCCUACGGGAGGCAGCAGUGGGGAAUCUUGCACAAUGGAGGAAACUCUGAUGCAGCGAUGCCGCGUGAGUGAAGAAGGCCUUUGGGUUGUAAAGCUCUUUCGUCGGGGAAGAAAAUGACUGUACCCGAAUAAGAAGGUCCGGCUAACUUCGUGCCAGCCGCCGCGGUAAUUC
rnacentral:rRNA from 1 species